GGAUGUGAGGGUGAACUGGCUGUGACAUCUGUUACCCCAUUGAUUGCCAGGGUUGAUUUGGCUGAUCUAGCUGACUAGGUGGGUGUCCCAUUCCUCUCUCAAUGCUUCCUAUGUGUCCAUCCUGAAGCUGUGUGAUUGGUCAAAGAAGACCACCCCAGAGAGAGGAGGACCAUUCCUCGGUCAAAGAUAUACCAGUAGCUGUGCUCCCCUGCUAGAAUCUCCAAACAAACUCUUAAGGGUUUAAGGAACAUGUUAACUAUGCCUUUAAUUUGAAGGACGUUUGACUAUAAAAUCCUAGGCUUACACAUUUUUUAG
rnacentral:snRNA from 1 species